rnacentral:lncRNA from 1 species
UAAAGUUAAAACCUAAAAAUAGCUGGACCCCAACUUUUCCCAUCAACCGUUUUGCUUGAUCUUCUACAGAUCCAUCGUCUCUCACACAAAAAUGGAGACAUUUCCUUAAUCUAGCUAAAAGAAAGAACUCUCAGCUGAAGGAGCGAUUAUAUUUGUAGAGGCAAGACCUAUAGAAAAAGAAAAAAAAAGAAAAACGGUGCAGCAGAAAAGGGAAUCUGAUUGGGAACCAAAAUUGGGAUCUAAACGAAACAAAAAAAGGCGACGUCGAUUCCAAAAGAAAAGAGACCACUGUCUCAAAUUCCCAAAACAAUUUUGAGGACCCGUCAGAGGUUCGUCGGAGUUUCACCACUUCUGACGAGCUCUCUUUCACCAUAAAACGCAGCAGCUCAAUUGUUCUCUUAAUUUGAGUUCAGCCCGUGAAGGUCGUCGAGGUCACCGUGGUCUUGAGAAUAAAGUUGAUUCACUAAAGGUAUUUUAUUUGUUUUUCUUCUUCAGAUCUUGUCUUCAUGAUUUAUUGAAAUUUUAAGGUCAUUAAUUGUUUGAUUAAGCAUUAAAAUUAGGGAUAACAUAUAUUGCUACUUUGAAGAUUUGAUACUUUUGGCCCUUUCUGUUUUUUUUUACUUCUUGAAAAAUGACAUUAUGUUUGGUGCCUUAGUUAAUGUUUUACUGUCUAGAUCUAUCGUUGUAGUUUCUUGGUUCAUGAAUUAACAUUAUGCUAGCUAUCAUUGCUUUAGUUUGUUGGAUAAAUAUUGAAUCACAUAAGUACAUAACUGUAAUGUGAAGAACAAUGAGAGGUGGGUUUGAUUCCAGUUCUUAGGAAAGGAAGCAGAUUUGGGCCUACAGAGCUGGCCCAACUCAGAAACUCUACUGCUAUUAACCCACCUAUGAUUUGCAAUGUAGAUAAUUCUCCUAACUGUAAUAAUAGAAAAGUUAUACUUUUUUCCCAUAAUAAUUUCCAUACAUAUGGCCUUCUAUAAUCUCAAAUUUUAGGAAAAUAAUCACUCUAGAACAUCGUAGCUUGCUUUAGGCGCGACCAAUAAUAAAUUAUCGUGGUCAUGGGUACGGUUCCCGUGGCAUGGUUACGAUACGUGAAUCUCAAUUCGGAGGUGCAUUUCAUAUAACCCGAUCAUAACAAUUUCGAAUAAUAAAACCCUUUGAAAUAAAUUGAGGCGUGUCAUGCCAAGCAAAAUUUAUAAUCCAUGGCCUUCAUAAGAUUAGAUUCAGGAACUAACACUUAUAGAAAAAGGUUUGAGGUGUGCUAUAAAUAAAUUAAAUCAUCUGUUGCCCUCACAAAUGUUGCUAUUGAAAAUUGAAUCUUCAUAGUUGCUUUGGGCGCGUUACUUAAAUAAUUCAUCAUAGCUACGGGUACGGUUCCGUGAUGUAGUUGUGGUUUUUUUAAUUAUUAAAAUUCGGGUGUACAUUUCAUGUGACCCAAUUUCAAUCUUCAACAAUGUUAAAUAAAGCGUGUUGCGAACCACGGGUGCAUUUCAUGUAGCGUGGUUUAAGACGUGUUUUAAAUAGCAUUGAAUUUUCCUAAAAAAUAACUAAAGCGUUUACAAAAGCUAAAAAUGCACAAUAGGUUAAAACAUGUAGUUAAUCAGAUAAUAGGCCAUUUUUAACAGUUCAAGUGACCGUGCUAGAACCUCGGAACCCGGGAAUGUCUAACACCUUAUCUCGGGUUAACAUAAUUUCUUAUCAAGANNNNNNNNNNNNNNNNNNNNCUUAAAUUAGAAAAAAUUCUCCUAUAUACCCUCGGGUGUGUAAAAAGGAGGUGUGACAGCUCUGGCGACUCUGUUAGGGACCAAAACCCAAAACUUUGAUUUAAGGUUCAAGAAAUCGAGCGUAGAAUAACUGUUAUAGUUGGCUUGUUUUUAUCUGAUUUUUACAUGUUGAACAUAAUGUGCUAAUUGCCGCUUUUUACAGCUUUGAUAUUGUUUGGACUAUAUAGAAAUUGCUACGAAAGCCUCCUCUCUCUGAGUCUUCUAAAUCAUCUGGGAAGUAUGCACUUCGUGUGACUUCUUUUCUGUUAGAGUCAUUGUCCCAAUUUUAGAACGAGGUUCAGACAAGUUGCAAAGGCAGCGAAGCUUCUGUAUUCCCGGUACGCUACCCUCCCCUCCCUCCCCCCGUCCUCGGCUCGAGCUGUCCGCUCGGGUAAGCCAGGUUUAGAAUAAUACACCCAGGUUUUUAAACUUAGAAUAACACAGCCUCAUGUCGAAUCCCUAGUAGGUACGUUUGUUUGCAUCACGUGCAUCCGACUUUGGGGACUCAACACAGGGAUUGUGUCCGUCUAGGACAGGUGUACCCAAAUAUUAAAAAGACCAUCCUGAUGCAUCUUACGGGCUACUUGCACAUUUGUUUGAUUCGGCUUGCAUGUUAAUCGGCUUCUAGAAUAAGGAAAGAAAAUCAACAAAAAAAAAAGAAAAUAAAAAAAAUUGAUGAAAAAAACCAAGAAUGAGACAAGGUCAUUUCAAAAUGAGCCAAAAAAUUUCAAGUGCCAUGUUUUCCGUGUUCCGUCAAAACUGACCGAACUACGCGGGUCUGAUUCUCACCGGAAGUGAGAUACGUAGACAAACCUCAUCGGUUCCGACCCCAAUUUUAAAAAAUCCAAAAAUAUUUUCCUUUAGUUCCUUCUUUAAAAAUCUUUCCUUAGAAAAUUCAAAAAAAAAAAAAUGUUUUUAAACUCAAAAAAGUAGUUUCCUUCUUUCUGAAAUCUUUUAUAUGGAAAAAAGAAAUUAAAAAAAAUCAAUCAAAAAUCAAAAUCCAAAAUACGAGUUUCAUUUAUUUUGAAGUAUUUUUCCCAAAAAGAUUUUUAAAAAAAAAGAUAAAAAACUUUUUCCUUGUUUAAAGUCUUUCAUUCAAAAAAAAAAAGGCCUUUCAUUAAAAAAAAAAUUGAAAAAUUUUAGUCCAAAAUAUUUUCGCUUUUGUUUAGAAGUGUUUUGUAAAUAAAUAAAAACUCUAAAAUCCAAUCUUUUUUUUUCUUAAAAAUCCCUCUUUCGAAAAUUUAAGAGACAACAUCCAAAAUCCAAAAAUAUUUUUUCUUUCUUCUUUAGGAAAAGAGAAAACAAAUGAAAGUUCAAACAAAAUUAUUUUCUUUUUACAUUUAAAAUUUCCAAAGUUCAAAUCAAAAGAGGAGUGAAUUUUUAGAAGUCUAUCUUUAAAAAAUCAAACAUAAAAAUAAAAAUCAAAAAAAUAUGUCUUUUUUCUUUUAAAGCAUUUCUUUCGGAAAAAAAAUUUCAAAAAAAUAUGUUUUUCUUUUUUUUAAAGCUUUCAUGGUUUGAGUUUUAUAAACAAAUUAAACAAAAAAAUGAGUUAGUUUAUUUACUCCAUUCUCGAUCUUCCUGAAAUACGCAAGAUCUGAUUCAUUCGGCGUUAUGAUACGUAGACAAUCCCCAUCGAAUUCGAUCAUAGCCAUAGGAUUAAUUGAGUGAAAAAUAAACUGAAAAAAAAAAGAGAAAGAAAAAUUGAGUAAAAAACAAGGAGAAAGAAAAGAGUGAAAAAAGGGAAGAGAGUGACAAAGAAAUUAAAGAGUGACAAAAAUAAAAAAAAGAAACUAGAGUGCCAAAAAAUAAAAGAGCGGCAAAAAUAAAAAAUCAAGAGUGAUUAAAAAGAAGCAGAAAUAAAAGAAAAGAGAUAUUUGAGUGAAAAAGAGAGUUAGUUUAAGGCCGGGAUGAAACAUGCAACCGUUCAAACACAUGGUAGAAACGUUUAACUAUUUAGGUGCAUUGCAUCCAAAUGUGCGAUUUCCUAUAUGUUAAGUGUCUCAAAACUAACAAGGUUGUUUAGUGUGCAAAUUAGUCAGGUUUUGGUGGUUGGUUUUGUUGGUAGUCUAGUCUCUCCUCUUUCACAAGAUUCAAAGGAACAGAUGGCCACCGCAAGCAAUCCACCAAUCAUCGGUCCUGAGGAUAGCUCGGCAUCGACUGUUCUGCAGCUAGAAUCAGCAGCCGCUGAAGAGAAUAAGAUGUUGCAUCUCCGCAUAUUGGAAAUGUGGGACGCCUGGUCUAAUGGUAGGGAACCUCCAAGUGCAAUCCCUGAGUUGAUCCCCAGGUCAGGUGAGGUUACAAACACCCAUGUGUCCAACCCGCUCAUCCCAUACGGGCAUCCUCCAAUGCCUUCCAAUGAUCCUGGCAUGCCUUCUGUGGUUCUCCCCCAAGCACCGGCUUCGAGGGCACCACUUCCAAUGUUCAUCUUUUAGGGUCCACAGCUUUAACCAGAAAUUACAUAUGUGACCCCGUACUCUUUCACUCAACCUCCACAAUAUGACCUCUCGGUGGAGCAAGAAAAGGUUGUGAAAAAUCCCGAGCAAGAGGAAAUGCCACGGAAGAUGAAGAGCCUGGAACAAAGCCUGAAAAACAUGCAAGGUCUAAGUGGUAAGAAGAGUAUCUCAUACUCUGACCUCUAUAUGUUUCCCCAUGUCCACUUGCCAGCUAACUUCAAGAUGCCAAAAUUUGAAAAGUAUGACGGGCACAAAGACCUGGUCACUCAUCUAAAAUGAUAUUAUAACCAGUUGAGGGGUGCUGGUGGAAGAGAGGAGUUGCUAAUGGCCUAUUUUGGGGAAAGCCUCACCAGAAUCGCUUCUGAGUGGUAUACGGAUCAAGAAAUUACCCAUUGGCACGUGUGGAACGAUAUGGCUCGAGAUUUUGUUCGCCAAUUCCAAUAUAAUGUGGACAUCGCUCCCGACAAAAACUCCUUGUCCAAUUUGAAAAAGAAAACCGCGGAAAGCUUCCGCGAAUAUGCUGUCAAAUGGCGUGAUCGAGCUGCCAAGGUAAAGCCUUCAAUGGACAAAACUGAAAUGGCCAUAGUCUUUCUGUAGGCCCAAGAGGCUGACUACUUCCAGAACAUGAUGUCUGUUGUGGGUAAGCCGUUCACCGAGGCUAUCAAAAUUGGGGAAAUGGUUGAAAACGGUCUAAAAACGGGCCGAAUCUUGAGUCAUGCUGCUUUUAAAGCCACAUCACCAGAUGUUCAAAAUGGUUCAAAGGGUUUGAUGAACACAAAUGGGAAUGAGGAGGGAGCUAUGAUGGUUUCAAGCUCGAGGGGGCCCGUAGGUCAUUCAGCUAGUCAUGUGUGCCUUCUAUGGUCCCACCACACUGUUAUCCCCUUCAAGAUGAUGCUUAUGUCCUUGAAACAACUGCCAAUGCAAAUGCAAUCAAAAGGUACUAUGUUGGAUCCUCUAUAUAGCAUUAAUGUUCUCCGGUUGAGAUAAAGAAGACUUUCUUUCUCACUACCCAAACACUACCAACCAUUUGCAAACCCUUUGAGCCGGUUACUCUUCUUUGAUUACCCCUUUUGGAACCUGAAAAUGUUAUUGAAAAAAACUAAUAAAUUAAAAAAAGGGAAAAAAUCAAAAAAGGAGAAGAAAAAGAAAGAUACAAAAAAAGAGAGGAAGAAAAUACAAAGAAAUGAAAUGAAAAAAAUGAAAAUGAAAAAAAAGAAAGGAAAAAGAAAGAGAACAAAACAAAACAGAAAAAAGAAGAAAAGAAAAUAAAAAACAAAAUUUCAUGAACUAUGUUCGACUUGAUUCCGAAAGGAUACAUAGGCACCCUCUCUCUGGGGUUCGGUCACACCAAAACAAAAAUCCACAUUCCCCCCAAAGUUGAAACUGGGGCAGAAGUUAUAAUGGUUCGGCAAUUGUUUCGCCUGAAAGAUUCCAAAGUUGUAAUUCAAUCCAAAUUCUUUUUACCCCAAAUUCUUUCAAGUCCUUCCGAUCAAUCGGUAAAAGAUGUUCAAAAUUGGAGGAUACAGUUACUUGGAUCUAAUACAAAAAAUGAGAGAAAUAAAAUGAGAGUCUUAUUGGUGAAAACCCAUACGCGCACCGUAAGGCAAUGGUAAACAGAGAAAUAAAAUGAGAGAGUCUUAUUGGUGAAAACCCACACGGGCACCGUGAGGUGACAGUAAGCAAAGAAACUAGAAAUAAGAGAGUCUUGUUAGUGAAAACUUGCAAAGAGCACUAUAAGGCAAUGGUGAGAAGAGAAAUGAGAGUGGCCAGCUAGUGAAAACCCGCAAAGGGCACCACUAAUCGAAAAGAAGAUCCUCACAGCCAUCGACAUCCACAGAGUCCUGGCAAGAUUUCUCGAUUUUGAGGCAAAAGUUGGGAUGAAUUUCUGAGAGUCGGACAGUUUACACAGAUCAGGCAUCCAGUCUAAAAGGCAUGUCAUGUUCAUUAAAGUCCGCAUGUACUCCAGAUAAGUCCUUCUUUCCUUUCCUCGAAAGGGACACAUCUUGUUUAAACUCACUCUCAAUUCCUUUGUUUAUUUUCUUUGAAUCCCUUUCGGUCUAACUCUGUUCCGAAACUAAGACAAAGAAAGGAUGGUAAGACUGAUUUACACGGUUCUCAUUUGAUACAAGCUAAUAUGCGAAAAGGCACCCAGCCUCAUCAGGGGCAUCAAAUCGACCUCGACCAGCCAUGGCGGCCGAUGCUUCGAAAUCAAAACUCUUGGAAGGAGAAAGUCAAAUUGAAGUGCCUAUAAAGGCAAAUGAAGUUGAAAAGGUUGAGUCCCACGUGACUAACCGUCUCGGCAAAGGUUUGAAAAGCCAAGGCACCCAAAUGUUCUGAAAUUGAAGUUAGAAGAAAGAAUCCAGAAAUGAAAGGCCUACGAAGGCGAAAUAAAGUUGGAAAAGGUAAGUCCCACGCGACUAGCCGUUGCAGCAAGUUUGAGAAGCCAAAAAGUUCUCCGAUGCUCCGAAGAAAAAAAAAGAGAGAAGGAAGUCAGAAAGGAAAGGCCUACAAAGGCAAAAUAAAGUCGAAAAGGUUGAGUUCCACUGACCAACCAUCAUGACAAAGUCUAGAAAAAACCAUAGGUUCUCCAGGGCCUGAAAUGAAAUCGGUCCCCAGGAAACGACCAGUUGCAAUUGAGAUCUUCAUCAAAGAAGCCGCGCUGAGAAUCAAGUGAUUGAAACAAUCAAGGCCACAAAACCAACCCGCCGUUUCAAAUUAACAAUCAUUCUUUGUUUGAAAACAUGAAACAGGUGCCAUCCAAAGCAACCUUGCAAGAAGCAUGUGCAACCAAAAAGAAACUGCGCAAGGGCUAGAAACAACUUUGCAACAAUAAUCAAUCCAAAAGGGAAGUCUCUUCCGAAUUCUUUCCUGCAUUUUUACUCAUUUUCUUAAAAUAUAAGAAGAAGAAAAUUCAAAUCAUGGUAGCAUAGGGUCUCACUCCCUAGCUGAUGCCAGCAUAACCUGGUAAUCUCUUCCAACAUAUGGUCUCAUUCCCUAGUCGCUGCCAGCAUAACCUGGUAGUCUUUUCCAAUAUAGGGUUCCACUCCCUAAUUGAUCUCCGACAUAACCCGAGGACCUUUUCUCGGCAUAAUCCGAUGACUUUGCCAGCAUAACCCGAUAACCUUUCCCGGCAUAACCCAAUGACCUUUUUCUUUUCCGACAUAACCCGAUGACCUUCUUAGCAUAACCAGAGGACACUUUUCUUUUCCGACAUAACCCGAUGACUUUCCCGACAUAACCCGUGGACCUCCCCGGCAUAACCAGAGGAUCUUUUUCUUUUUCGGCAUAACCCGAUGACUUUUUCUGACAUAACCCAAGAACUUUUUUCUUUCCCGACAUAACCGAUGGACACCCCCGGCAUAACCCAAAGACCUUUUUCUUUUCCAGCAUAACCCGAUGACCUUUUUCUUUACCGGCAUAACUCGUGGACCUCCCCAGCUUAACCCGAGAACCUUUUUCUUUUCCAGCAUAACCCGAUGACCUUUCCCGGCAUACCCCAUGGACCUCCCCGGCAUAACCUGAGGACUUUUUUUUCCAGCAUAACCCGAUGACCUUUUUUCUUAUUCCAGCAUAACCCGAGGACCUUUCCGGCAUAACCCGAUCAUUUUUCUAACAUAACCUGUUAAUCUCUUCCAACAUAUGAUCACAUUCCCUAGCUGAUGUCAGCAUAACAUGGUAAUCCUUUCCAAUAUAGGAUCUCACUCCCUAGCUGAUGCCAGCAUAACCUGGUAAUCUUUUCCGGCAUAGGGUCUCAUUCCUUAGUUGAUGCUAGCAUAACCUGGUAAUCUUUUCAACUUAGGAUAUCCGAUCCCCUUUUGAUUUUAUUUUAGAUAUAGGGCCUCCACUCCUAAUCUCUUUUCCUCAGGAAUACACAAUCCCGAUUUUAAUUGCUUUCAAUAAAGAAAUAGUUUAGAUUUUGUUACAAUAACUCGCGAAAUUUUCAUAGUGAAAACUGGGGCAGAAAAAUUUCGUUCGUUUGUUUGUUUUGGUGUCUUAGCAGGUUAUACUUCAAGGCACAGGGUUCGAGAUGACCGUAAGAAGAUUUCUCAAUCCAGAAUAAAAAAAAAGAAAGAACAAGAAAAGAAGUGAACUUCAAGUGCAAAAGCGAAGAAAAGAUGCAAACUGCUCAAGAUAUGAUUGAAGUUACGAGUUUUGCAUGUCCCGCCUUGAUCCGAAGAGCUGAAGAAAAAUGAACCAACAUUCGCAGCUAACGAACAUCAAGAAUCAGAUCAGAGUCUGCAGCAAGAACCAACCAAGACUCAAGAUCAAGCUUCAGAAAACUCAUAAAUAGGAAUCUUGUAACUCGUACCUCAUAAGCUUAGUUAGUCUUUUUCAUUUUUGAUGUAAUAACAGGACCGAGGACCGGAACCUCGACGGAAACUCAAUCGACUCUCGAACGCAUCACUCCAUCAUCCUUCCAGAAUACACCGACCUGAUUCCUUUAAAGCCAAGGAUAUGUAGACAACCUCCGAAGCAAGGUUCGGUCAAACUUUUUCAAAAUGCUUCCAAAUAGAGUUUCAAAUGGGCAAAAAUUGUUCGUAAUUGUUCACUUUAUCUUUGCCCGAAAAUUCUUCUGAUUUUCGAGCAAAGAGGGGCAGCUGUGAGCACCUAAUUUUUGUUCUACAUGAAAAUAACUCCUAAAAAUAAAUCAAAAAUAAUUUUUUAAGGGAUUUUAAUUUUUUUUUUCUUUAUUUAGUUGCAUUUUUAAUAUUUUAAAAUUAUAGAAAAAUGAUAAAAAUAUCAUAUUUCAAUUUCAUGUCAUUUUAGGUCCAAUUUGCAUUUAGGAAUUUAAUUUCAUAAUUUAAUUUCAUUCAUUAAACAAAAAUCACAAAAAUAUUGCUACAAUAGGCAUGUCCGCAUUUUAACUUUUAUUUUUAAAUUAAUUAGUGUUAAAUUAGUAAAAUAAGUAAGAUGAACUUUACAAAUUAAUUUAAGCUAGAGCAGAAUUUUAUUUAGCUUGUUUAAUUAAUUCAAUUAGAUUUCUGAAAUCAAAAGAAAAACAAAGAAAAGAAGUAGAUUUGGUCUUUCAAUUUCGUUUGGGCCAGCUUAACUUGGAGCCCAAAAAUACCAAAUUACCCAAGCCCAAAAUAUUGAACUCAUACUCAUUCCCCAUUUGACCUAACCUAAUCCCUAUAAAAUAAAGCUAAGACCUAAAAAUAGCUGGACCCCAAUUUCCCCUAUUAGCCGUUUUGCUUGAUCUUCUACAGAUCCAUCGUCUCUCACACAAAAAUGAAGACAUUUCCUCAAUCUAGCUAAAAGAAAGAACUCUCGUCUGAAGGAGCGAUUAUAUUUGUAGAGGCAGGACCCAUAGAAAAACAAAAAAAAAGAAAAGAAAAACGGCGUAGCAGAAAAACUAAAGAGAAAAUCCUAAUUCCUAAGAAGAAAGAGAACGGAGCCUAAGGCUUUUGUUAGACAAUGAUCUAACAAAAUUGAGAAGGGAAUCUGAUUGGGAACCAAAAAUAGGGACCUAAACGGGAAAAAAAGGCAGCGUCGAUUACAAAAGAAAAAGAGACCACUGUCUCAAAUUCCCAAAACAAUUUUGAGGAGCUGUCCGAGGUUCUUCGAAGUUUCACCACUUCCGACGAGCUCUCUUUCACCAUAAAACGCAGCAGCUCAAUUGUUCUCUUAAUUUGAGUUCAGCCCGUGAAGGUCGUCAAGGUCACCGUGGUUUUGAGAAUGAAGUUGAUUCACUAGAGGUAUUUUGUUUGUUUUUCUUCUUCAGAUAUUGUCUUCAUGAUUUAUUGAAAUUUUAAGGUCAUUAAUUGUUUGAUUAAACAUUAAAAUCAGGAAUAACAUAUAUUGCUACCUUGAAAAUUUGAUACUUUUAGCCCUUUCUGUUUUUUUUACUUCUUGAAAAAUGACGUUAUGUUUGGUUCCUUAGUUGAUGUUUUACUGUCCAGAUCUAUCGUUGUAGUUUCUUGGUUCAUGAAUUAACAAUAUCCUAGCUAUCAUUACUUUAGUUUGUUGGAUAAAUAUUGAAUAACAUAAGUACAUAACUGUAAUGUGAAGAACAAUGAGAGGUGGGUUUGAUUCCAAUUCUUAGGAAAGGAAGCAGAUUUGGGCCUACAGAGCUGGCCCAACUCAGAAACUCCACCGCUAUUAACCCACCUAUGAUUUGCAAUGUAGAUAAUUCUCUUACAGUUAUACUUUUUUUCCAUAAUAAUUUCCAUGCAUAUGGCCUUCUAUAAUCUCAAACUUUAGGAAAAUAAUCAGUCUAGAAUAUCGUAGCUUGCUUUAGGCGCGAUCAAUAAUAAAUUAUUGUGGUCAUGAGUACGAUUCCCGUGGCAUAAUUACGAUAAGUGAAUCUCAAUUCGGGGUGUAUUUCAUAUAACCCGAUCAUAACAACUUCAAAUAAUAAAACCCUUUGAAAUAAAUGGAGGCGUGUCAUGCCAAGCAAAAUUUAUAAUCCAUGGUCUUCAUAAGAUUAGAUUCAGGAACUAACACUUAUAGAAAAAGGUUUGAGGUGUGCCAUAAAUAAAUUAAAUCAUUCAUGAACCUCGCAAAUAUUACUAUUGAAAAUUGAAUCUUCGUAGUUGCUUUGGGCGCGUUACUUAAAUAAUUCAUCAUAACUACGAGUAUGAUUCCCGUGACGUAGUUGUGAUUUUUUUUAAUUGUAUAUUUCAUGUGACCCAAUUUUAAUUUUCAACAAUGUUAAAUAAAGCGUGUUGCGAAUCACUAUUGCAUUUCAUGUAGCGUGAUUUAAGACGUGUUUUAAAUAAUAUUGAAUUUUCCUAAAAAAUAACUAAAGAGUUUACAAAAGCUAAAAAUGCAAAAUAGGUUAAAACAUGUAGUUAAUCAAAUAAUAGGCCAUUUUUAACAGUUUAAACGACCGUGCUAGAACCACGGAACCCGGGAAUGCCUAACACCUUCUCCCGAGUUAACAGAAUUCCUUAUCUAGAAUUUCUGGUUCACACACUUUAAAAAAUAAAAAAUUUCUCGAUUUGGGAUUUUAAAUAAACCGGGUACUUGGCACACCAAAUAAACUAUACCAAGUGGUGACUCUGAAAAAAUUAAAUAAAAUAAUCUCAUUUCGAAUAAUGUCAAUUAAAUUAAAAAAACUCCCUUUAUACCCUCGGGUAGUGUAAAAAGGAAGUGUGACAGCAUAGGCCAACUCAAACUGCCUCUCUACCUAACCUUUAGCGAGCGCAACAACUGCUUCGCGAAUGCGAUGCUUAACCAGCUCAUUCCUUUACGAACGCGGGCCUCACCUCGCGAACGCGUAGACCAAAGAUCUGGGGUCCCCAACUGCCUCACUCCUCUUUGCGAACGCGACCGCACUCAUGUGUUCGCGAUGCACACACUGCCUUACCCUUCGCGUUUGCGUUCUACCCUUUGCAAACGCAUAGAAUAAACCCACCACCACAGAAGACACUCUUCGCGAACGCGAGACACUCUCUUCGAACGCGAUGAACAAACCUCUGCAACCAAAAACCAGCAAAGUCUGCAACUCUCAAAACUAAGAAUUUGAUUCGAUAACCUCCCGAAACUCACCCAAGGCCUCGGGACCUCAACCAAAAUGCCAACACAUCUCAUAACAUCAUUCAAACUUAGUCGAGCCUUCGAAUCACUCAAAACAAUACCAAAACGUCCAAUCAAUCUCGAAUUCAAACCUAAAAAACCUAAAAAAUUUCAAAUUCCACAAACGACACCAAAAUCUAUCAAAUCAACUCCGAAUGACCUGAAAUUUUGUACACACAUCACAAAUGACACUACAAACCUACUCCAACUUCCGAAAUUUCAUUCCGACCCCGAUAUCAAGAUUUCCACUGCCGACCAAAAACUCCAAAUUUCUAAUUUUGCCAAAUCAAAUCUAAAUCUACCACGAACCUCUAAAUCACAUUCCGGACGUGCUCCCAAGUCCAAAAUCACCUAAAGGAGCUAACCAAUCAUAAAAAUCCAAAUCCGAGAUCGAAUACUAAGAAGUCAAAACUUGGUCAAACCUUUCAAAUUUAAAGCUUCAAACUGAGAAUUGUUCUUCCAAAUCUAUUCCGAUUAUCCUGAAAACCAAAACUAACGAUUUACAUAAGUCAUAAUACAUCACACAGGGCUAGUCAUGCCCGAGAACUGGCGAGCGAAGUACAAAUACUCAAAACGACCGAUCGGGUCGUUACAUGAAGGCAUUAAUUUAACAAAAAUGAGCAGCGUGCCAAAAAAAGUUAUGUUCAUCCUUCAUUUGAAAAAAAGGUCAGUAAUUUUACAUGCGAGAUACUUUAUCCUAUUAAUACAAGUGAGCUCAAUAUUUGCUAAUUCAGAUGAAUUCUAACCAACAGACACCAAGUUGGUGUCAAAUGACAAUAUACAGUGUGGAUUUACAUCUAACCUUCAAAAAGAAAGGGUUUGAAUUUUGCUCGAAGAUAUCAAUAACUUCUCUAAUAAAUUAAAGAAAAGCCGAAGGGCUCCAACUUAGAUUUGAAAUCAAAGAUGCAGAUACCAAUUUGAGGAUUUGAUAGACCUAGUUGGUUUUAUAUUCAUUUAAUUCAGGGUAGGAAUGAUAUGCUUUUGGCGGCAAUAAGUGGCAUAUUGAAGGAUUCAACUUGAAACUUUAGAACAUUCACCACUAUCUCAGAAACAAAUAUUGAACAUACAAAUACAACUACAAUCUCAUAGGAUUACUAACCUUAACUUUUUGCUCUUUGGCUGGGGCAGUCAUAAUUCCUUGACAACUGUAAAAAACAUGACAACCAUAUAUUAAAAAAAUAAAUAAAACGGGGCACUUUACCAGAUUGCAACAGAAUGGACACUUUUAAUAGUCCUGUGAAAAGAAAAGCGAUUCAGCAAAACUUCAAAUUGAAUGUGCUUUUGCAAUGUGCACAUCCAAAGAUUUCACUUUUCAAGUAGUUCGCGUGUAAAUAAAAUAGAACUACCAAUGGUUACAACAGGAUAUCCAAUACGAGAAUCGCACCAAAAUAGUCGACCCUAAGCUGCAAAAACUAAAUCUAUUUUCUUCAAUAUCAUUUUCAAUUUUAAAAGAAUGAAAAAAACUUCUACAAAGGUUUCCACGUACUACGGUUUGUUCUGACGGGGCGCGCGCAUAUAUAUACUCCCUCCGUUUCAAUUUAUGUGAAUCUAUUUCUUUUUUAGUCCGUGCCAAAAAGAAUGGCCCCUUUCCUUAUUUGGAAACAGUUUACCUUUACACAAUGAUUUAUAACCACACAAAAUAUAUGUAACUCAUUUUACUCCACAAGAUCAAAAAUAUCUCUUUUCUUAAACUCCGUACCCAGUCAAAUGGGUUCACAUAAAUUGAAAUGGAGGGAGUAUAACACAAUAACAACAUUCAGCCAUUUCAUAUAAAUCAAAAAAAUCGAAUUUCAAGUCAAAAAUCAUUUCAAGAACCUAAAAUCAAAAUAUAGAUCAAAGCAAAACCCAGCAAAUACAAACAAAUCAGAAAUAUCAAAGACCAAAAUUAGGUCUCAUAUCUGAUAACAAUGAAUACCUCAGGAUUGGAGAGGAGGGCGGGAAAAAGAGCGGAUCUUGAAUCAGAGCAAAGGGCUCUGCGGAGGAGAGGGAGCGUGGAUCUAACUCGCGCUGCCAUUGCCAUCGCAAGAGAAUCUUUUCUUCGACGCCGGUUUGUUUUCACCAGAGAUUAAUGGGGAAUUGUAGUGUUAAAAUUGGCUGAGUGAGGGUAGAGAGUCUCGAGGAGGCUGCGGUUUUACUGGCUCAACAUUUCAGAACUU